UAGGGAAUAUUGCGCAAUGGGCGAAAGCCUGACGCAGCAACGCCGCGUGGGGGAUGAAGGCCUUCGGGUUGUAAACCCCUUUCAGCAGGGAAGAAGCGCAAGUGACGGUACCUGCAGAAGAAGCACCGGCUAACUACAUACCAGCAGCCGCGGUAAUACGUAGGGUGCAAGCGUUGUCCGGAAUUAUUGGGCGUAAAGAGCUCGUAGGCGGUCUGUCGCGUCUGCUGUGAAAGUUCGGGGCUUAACCCCGGAACUGCAGUGGGUACGGGCAGACUAGAGUGCGGUAGAGGAGACUGGAAUUCCUGGUGUAGCGGUGGAAUGCGCAGAUAUCAGGAGGAACACCAGUGGCGAAGGCGGGUCUCUGGGCCGCAACUGACGCUGAGGAGCGAAAGCAUGGGGAGCGAACAGGAUUAGAUACCCGCGUAGUCC
rnacentral:rRNA from 1 species